rnacentral:rRNA from 1 species
AGGACGAACGCUGGCGGCGUGCUUAACACAUGCAAGUCGAGCGGAAAGGCCCUUCGGGGUACUCGAGCGGCGAACGGGUGAGUAACACGUGAGUAACCUGCCCCUAGCUCUGGGAUAGCUCCGGGAAACCGGGAUUAAUACCAGAUACGACCACUUUAGACAUCUGUCGUGGUGGAAAGGAUUCCGGCUAGGGAUGGGCUCGCGGCCUAUCAGCUUGUUGGUGGGGUAACGGCCUACCAAGGCGACGACGGGUAGCCGGCCUGAGAGGGCGACCGGCCACACUGGGACUGAGACACGGCCCAGACUCCUACGGGAGGCAGCAGUGGGAAUAUUGCGCAAUGGGCGAAAGCCUGACGCAGCGACGCCGCGUGGGGGAUGAAGGCCUUCGGGUUGUAAACCCCUUUCAGCAGGGACGAAGCGAAAGUGACGGUACCUGCAGAAGAAGCGCCGGCUAACUACGCGCCAGCAGCCGC